GGUCCUACGGGGGGCAGCAGUGGGGAAUAUUGCACAAUGGGGGAAACCCUGAUGCAGCGACGCCGCGUGAGUGAAGAAGUAUCUCGGUAUGUAAAGCUCUAUCAGCAGGGAAGAAAAUGACGGUACCUGACUAAGAAGCCCCGGCUAACUACGUGCCAGCAGCCGCGGUAAUACGUAGGGGGCAAGCGUUAUCCGGAUUUAUUGGGUUUAAAGGGUGCGUAGGCUGUCGGAUAAGUUAGAGGUCAAAUGUCGGGGCUUAACCCCGUGCCUGCCUCUGAUACUGUUCGCCUAGAGAGCGGAUGCAG
rnacentral:rRNA from 1 species